rnacentral:rRNA from 1 species
CCUACGUGGGGCUGCAGUGAGGAAUAUUGGUCAAUGGGCGGGAGCCUGAACCAGCCAAGUCGCGUGAGGGAAGAAGGUACUGAGUAUUGUAAACCUCUUUUGCCAGGGGAUAAAGGCGGCCAUGGGUGGCCGUAAGUGGGUACCUGGAGAAUAAGCAUCGGCUAACUCCGUGCCAGCAGCCGCGGUAAUACGGAGGAUGCGAGCGUUAUCCGGAUUUAUUGGGUUUAAAGGGUGCGCAGGCGGCGUGUCAAGUCAGCGGUAAAAUGUCGGGGCUCAACCCCGGCUGGCCGUUGAAAAUGGCGGGCUCGAGUUGGAGAGAGGUAGGCGGAAUUCGUGGUGUAGCGGUGAAAUGCAUAGAUAUCACGAAGAACCCCGAUUGCGAAGGCAGCAUACCGGCUCCACACUGACGCUGAGGCACGAAAGCGUGGGUAUCGAACAGGAUUAGAUACCCUAGUAGUC